AAACUUAGGAUAAUCUAAACCAAGG
rnacentral:tRNA from 1 species